rnacentral:rRNA from 1 species
AUUGAACGCUGGCGGCAUGCUUUACACAUGCAAGUCGAACGGCAGCGCGGGCUUCGGCCUGGCGGCGAGUGGCGAACGGGUGAGUAAUGCAUCGGAACGUGCCCAGUAGUGGGGGAUAGCCCGGCGAAAGCCGGAUUAAUACCGCAUACGACCUGAGGGUGAAAGCGGGGGACCGAAAGGCCUCGCGCUAUUUGAGCGGCCGAUGUCGGAUUAGCUAGUUGGUGGGGUAAAGGCUUACCAAGGCGACGAUCCGUAGCUGGUCUGAGAGGACGACCAGCCACACUGGGACUGAGACACGGCCCAGACGCCUACGGGAGGCAGCAGUGGGGAAUUUUGGACAAUGGGGGCAACCCUGAUCCAGCCAUGCCGCGUGCGGGAAGAAGGCCUUCGGGUUGUAAACCGCUUUUGUUCGGGAAGAAAUCCUCUGGGCUAAUACCCCGGGGGGAUGACGGUACCGGAAGAAUAAGCACCGGCUAACUACGUG